AGGCGCAUAGCUCAGUUGGUUAGAGCACCACCUUGACAUGGUGGGGGUCGUUGGUUCGAGUCCAAUUGUGCCUACCA
rnacentral:tRNA from 4 species